UACAGAGGGUGCUAGCGUUGUCCGGAUUUAUUGGGCGUAAAGAGCGUGUAGGCGGCCGUACAGGUCAGCUGUGAAAACUCGAGGCUCAACCUCGAGACGUCGGUUGAAACCGUACGGCUAGAGUCCGGAAGAGGAGAGUGGAAUUCCCGGUGUAGCGGUGAAAUGCGCAGAUAUCGGGAAGAACACCCGUGGCGAAGGCGGCUCUCUGGGACGGUACUGACGCUGAGACGCGAAAGCGUGGGGAGCGAACAGG
rnacentral:rRNA from 1 species